UACGUAGGGUCCGAGCGUUGUCCGGAAUUACUGGGCGUAAAGAGCUCGUAGGUGGUUUGUCGCGUUGUUCGUGAAAACUCACAGCUUAACUGUGGGCGUGCGGGCGAUACGGGCAGACUUGAGUACUGCAGGGGAGACUGGAAUUCCUGGUGUAGCGGUGGAAUGCGCAGAUAUCAGGAGGAACACCGGUGGCGAAGGCAGGUCUCUGGGCAUUAACUGACGCUGAGGAGCGAAAGCAUGGGGAGCGAACAGG
rnacentral:rRNA from 1 species